GACGAACGCUGGCGGCGUGCUUAACACAUGCAAGUCGAACGGAAAGGCCCUGCUUUUGUGGGGUGCUCGAGUGGCGAACGGGUGAGUAACACGUGAGUAACCUGCCCUUGACUUUGGGAUAACUUCAGGAAACUGGGGCUAAUAUCGGAUAGGAGCUCCUGCUGCAUGGUGGGGGUUGGAAAGUUUCGGCGGUUGGGGAUGGACUCGCGGCUUAUCAGCUUGUUGGUGGGGUAGUGGCUUACCAAGGCUUUGACGGGUAGCCGGCCUGAGAGGGUGACCGGCCACAUUGGGACUGAGAUACGGCGCAGACUCCUACGGGAGGCAGCAGUGGAGAAUAUUGCACAAUAGGCGGAAGCCUGAUGCAGCAACGCCGCGUGCGGGAUGACGGCCUUCGGGUUGUAAACCGCUUUCGCCUGUGACGAAGCGUGAGUGACGGUAAUGGGUAAAGAAGCACCGGCUAACUACGUG
rnacentral:rRNA from 1 species